rnacentral:tRNA from 1 species
GCGAGAAUAGCCAAGAGGAAAGGCAGAGGUCUGCAAAACCUUAAUCGCGGGUUCGAAUCCCGUUUCUUGCU